CUUGGUCAUUUAGAGGAAGUAAAAGUCGUAACAAGGUUUCCGUAGGUGAACCUGCGGAAGGAUCAUUAAAAAGUUUGGCUUCGGCCGACUGCGAAAAGUACGAGCCGCCAGGAACUCCCGUCGGCGCCCUCCAACCUGCCUGCAACUGCUGGGUGUGUGCUCUGAACUGGAGUUGGCGUACAAAUCGAAUCGACGGGGGGGAUUGACCGGUCGGGCUUAACGCGUGUCAACCCUCCGUGAAACUUCCCCUUUGCUUGGGCAGCACACCCACGGUUUGCCGUGGGCCGGUCAGUCUGCCCGAAGCACCAACCCAAACCACUUGUUUGAACUUUUGUCCGAACCAGUCCAAUGACUUUUAAAACUUUCAACAACGGAUCUCUUGGUUCUCGCAUCGAUGAAGAACGCAGCGAAACGCGAUAGGUAAUGUGAAUUGCAGAAUCUAGUGAAUCAUCGAAUCUUUGAACGCAUAUUGCGCCUUCUGGUAUUCCGGGAGGCACGUCUGUUUGAGCGUCAGCAACACCUCAAAGCUCGCUUUGGUUGUGGGAUGGGUCGACCCCUCUCUGGGGGUGCACCCUCCUUAACGUUGCCUGACGAUAGCGAACCACAGCAGCCUGGCAGUAGACGUAGUAAAUUUUUCUCGUUUGCCUGCUCGGGAGGCGGAUCGCCAACGAAAACUCAAAACCUUUUGACCUCAAAUCAGACGAGGAUACCCGCUGAACUUAAGCAUAUCAAUAAGCGGAGGA
rnacentral:rRNA from 1 species